GUGAAACCAGAGGCGUUAGAGAAGACCAGAGAGAAGAGACCUGAAAGGUGAUCUUCCUCUGCAUCUUUCUCUCGCCCUCUCUUUCUCUCUCUAGAAACACUUAAGUUUUUAGAUUUGAGAGAGAGAGAGAGAGAGAGAGGAAGUACUUCUCGCCAAAGCUGCACUGAAUUUGGCCAAAAAAAAAAAAAAUCCUUUUCCUACUUGCUACAUAAUCCAUUGCUUCUACUUCACUCCCUCCAAGUUUUGCAGAUAACCCUCUCUCUCUCUCUCUCUCUCUGUUAAGAUCUCCAAUCUUUCCUGGUUUCCUAAAGAGUCGAGAAAAACCCUUUUCUCUGCACUCGGUCUUCCUCUGCUUUGACAAUCCACCUUUAAUUCAGCUCAAAAAAUCACAAAUCAUUCAAUUUAGCAAAAAUAAGGGAAUCUGAACAGAACCCAGUUGCAGAUUUUCCCGGAAGAUGGAGAACAUUUCCGGGAAAAGCGACCCACAAUCAGUCUCUCACUUUUUACUACUUUUUCCGAGUCAAUUUCCUCUGACAAGUCCCCAAAUGCAAUCAAAUCCCCCCGAAAUUUCCAAGAGGGGGUUGUUGGGCUUGGAAUAGUGGCUGCCAUGACUGAUUUGGGCAACCCCAAUGAAGUGGCUUUGUCUGACAAGUCGCCUAGGUCGAGCCCGAUCCCCAUAGUCUCUGCAGCUAAGCCCGCAGCUAAUUUCAGAGGUGGGUUUUGUGUGGAGAGGGCAGGGGCUGUGGUGGAUGAAUUGUCCGAGAGCUAUACAUGUGUGAUUACGCAUUUCGGAAACAAUUUGACAUCGAAAAGGGUUUAUUUCGAUGAUGAGCUGAGUGGGGGUUGUGGAUGAUCCUAAUGCUGGUGUGGUGGUGGCCUCUGGGGUGUUCUAUGUUUCUCCACUGAGUGUUGGUGAAGUGGGAAGAGAGUUUUGGGCCUCGGAUUUUCUCAGUUGGUGUUAUCUUUGCAAGAAGCAGCUUCAUGGACUGGACAUUUUCAUGUACAGGGGUGAGAAAGCAUUUUGCAGCGCCGAGUGCCGUGACAAGCACAUUCGAAGCGAUGAUCAUAAAGAGAAGUGCAGAUCGGAAGCAUUGAAAUCGCUUGAGUACUCGGUGUCUCCCUGCUCCAGUCCGCUCGUCUUCUUAUCCGGGGUUGCUGUGGCAUGAAAGUAUUGGUGUACCUAUAUAGUAAAUAAUACAAGAAAGGAUGGGAAACAUGAUCCGAAUAAAUUGGGACAAGGUUCAAUCAG